rnacentral:misc_RNA from 1 species
CUCCUUAGGACAACAUCUUCUGAUGGAGCUGCUAUUUUGAGGGUUCUGCAGGCAUUAAGCUCUCUUGUUGCCUCACUAGUUGAGAAAGAGAAGGACCAGAAAAUUCUUGCAGAGAAAGAGCAAAGUGCUGCUCUUUCUCAGUUGUGCAACAUCAAUGGAGCUUUAGAGCCUUUGUGGCUGGAGCUGAGCACUUGCAUAAGCAAAAUAGAGAGCUACUCAGAUUCUGUACCUGAUUUGCUACUUCCAAGAACUUCCACAUCAAAACCAUCUGGUGUAACAACCCCACUCCCUGCAGGUUCUCAGAACAUCUUACCAUAUAUCGAGUCCUUCUUUGUGAUGUGCGAAAAGUUGCAGCCUGCACAGCCAGGUUCCAGUCAUGACUAUGGUGCUGUUUCUGAAGUUGAAGAUGCGAGCACAUCUACUGCCCAUCAGAAAACCUCUGUCCCUGUUUUGAAAGUUGAUGAGAAACACAUUGCAUUUGUGAAAUUUUCUGAGAAACAUAGAAAGCUCCUUAAUGCUUUCAUCCGCCAAAAUCCUGGGUUGCUUGAGAAGUCCUUCUCACUCAUGCUGAAGGUUCCCCG